rnacentral:rRNA from 2 species
UCUUGGUCAUUUAGAGGAAGUAAAAGUCGUAACAAGGUCUCCGUUGGUGAACCAGCGGAGGGAUCAUUAUCGAGUUAUUCAACUCCCAAACCCUAUGUGAACUUACCACUUGUUGCUUCGGCGCGCGCUUCGGCGCCGCCGAGGACACUUAAACUCUUUGUUUUUAUAAGCAUUUCUGAGUGGCCGAAAGGCAAAAAUACAAAUGAAUCAAAACUUUCAACAACGGAUCUCUUGGUUCUGGCAUCGAUGAAGAACGCAGCGAAAUGCGAUAAGUAAUGUGAAUUGCAGAAUUCAGUGAAUCAUCGAAUCUUUGAACGCACAUUGCGCCCGCCAGCAUUCUGGCGGGCAUGCCUGUUCGAGCGUCAUUUCAACCCUCGAGCCCGACUCUUUUGAGGACGGCUCGGCGUUGGGGGACGGCAGACUCCCCCCGGCAUCUCGCCGGGGACGCCGCCCCCGAAAUCUAGUGGCGGCCCUCCGAGGCGACCUCUGCGUAGUAACUUGUUCUCGCACCGGAAAGCUCAGAGCGGCCACGCCGUAAAACCCCAACUUUUUUCAGGUUGACCUCGAAUCAGGUA